GAUGAACGCUGGCGGCGUGCCUAAUACAUGCAAGUCGAACGCUGGAACUCUAGCUUGCUAGAUUGAAGGAGUGGCGAACGGGUGAGUAAUACAUAAGCAACCUACCCACGAAGACUGGGAUAAUCUCUGGAAACGGGGACUAAUACCGGAUAGGUAAUCGGAAGGCAUCUUCUGAUUAUUAAAGGUUAAAAACACUGGUGGAUGGGCUUAUGGCGCAUUAGUUAGUUGGUGAGGUAACGGCCCACCAAGACGAUGAUGCGUAGCCGGCCGGAGGGGGUGAACGGCCACAUUGGGACUGAGCCACGGCCCAGACUCCUACGGGAGGCAGCAGUAGGGAAUUGUCGGCAAUGGGAGAAACCCUGACCGAGCAACGCCGCGUGAGUGAUGACGGCCUUCGGGUUGUAAAGCUCUGUUGUAAGGGAAGAACGGUAGAUAGAGAAUAUCUAAAUGACGGUACCUUACCAGAAAGCCACGGCUAACUACGUG
rnacentral:rRNA from 1 species